UACGAAGGGUGCAAGCGUUACUCGGAAUUACUGGGCGUAAAGCGUGCGUAGGUGGUUUGUUAAGUCUGUUGUGAAAGCCCCGGGCUCAACCUGGGAAUGGCAAUGGAUACUGGCAGGCUAGAGUGCGGUAGAGGGUAGUGGAAUUCCCGGUGUAGCGGUGAAAUGCGUAGAGAUCGGGAGGAACACCAGUGGCGAAGGCGGCUCACUGGUCCGGUACUGACGCUGAGGUGCGAAAGCGUGGGGAGCAAACAGG
rnacentral:rRNA from 1 species